GAUAAACGCUGGCGGCGUGCCUAACACAUGCAAGUCGAACGCCCUGGAGCAAUUCAGGGAGUGGCGGACGGGUGAGGAACACGUGGGUGAUCUACCUUGAGGUGAGGAAUACCGGCGAGAAAUCGCCGACAAUACCGCAUACGUUCGUAAGAACAAAGUCGCAAGACGCCUGAAGAUGAGCCUGCGUCCGAUUAGCCAGUUGGUGGGGUAAUGGCCUACCAAAGCAGCGAUCGGUAGCUGGUCUGAGAGGACGAUCAGCCACACUGGGAUUGAGAACGGCCCAGACUCCUACGGGGG
rnacentral:rRNA from 1 species